GGGGUUGAUUAGGAUUCGACAGGAUUCAAUGAUACUGGAGGUGCAUGCAGAGGUGCGGUUGGCCUCUUUAAAAAGCCGCAAAAAAAUAGUCGCAAACGACGACAAUUACGCACUAGCAGCUUAAUAACCUACUGAGUGCCUUCGCGCCCUAGCUUUCGCCUGUAAGACGGGGAGUCACGCGGAGUCAAACCCAAACAGGAUCGCCCGGCGUCUCCCGCUUGAGAGACAAAGUGCUAAAUUUAAUUCAAGCUAGUUUGUACUUCGCGUGUCGGUCCGCAGGGUGCAGGCGAAUGUAAAGAUUGACUAAGCAUGUAGGACCAAAGGUUGACGUUUUCUGGACGCGGGUUCAAAUCCCGCCAACUCCACCA
rnacentral:tmRNA from 1 species